rnacentral:rRNA from 1 species
AGAUUAAGUUAUUAAGGGCGCACGGUGGAUGCCUUGGCACUAGAAGCCGAUGAAGGACGUUACUAACAACGAUAUGCUUUGGGGAGCUGUAAGUAAGCUUUGAUCCAGAGAUUUCCGAAUGGGGAAACCCAGCAUGAGUUAUGUCAUGUUAUCGAUAUGUGAAUACAUAGCAUAUCAGAAGGCACACCCGGAGAACUGAAACAUCUUAGUACCCGGAGGAAGAGAAAGAAAAUUCGAUUC